ACCCCUGGGUAAGCGCAGUAGUUGGAAACAGAAACAAAUGCAAACUUAUGUAUGGUGACAUCCCUAGUUCUGAUAUAAUGAAAUGCUGUGCAGUUCUACUGAGUCAAAUUACAUAAACAGUUACUUCAGAACUGUUGUACAUACUGUCUACAAAUGGUCAAUGUUCAAUGUUCACAUGUCCUGAUGCAUGUAUUUACUUGGUUUUAUAUUGAUGUAUGAUAUGACGAUAUGUUACAUGUAAUGUGACUCGGAAAUUAUGAAGCUUGAACCUUAUUGGGAUAUGUCACACACUGACUAAGUACCAGUACUUGAUGUACCCAUGUAUCAUGUCCUGUAUCAGAAUUUGUAUCAUAACCCAAGAUGUAUCUAGGAUUCCGCACUCAUUAUCUUGGGCAGGCAAACAGGGAAAAACUCCUGUUUUUCAAAAUAUAGAUGUUUAUUAAAUUUCUUGUUUUGUCAGAUUAGGAGGUAUUUUAACAUUGCUCUCAGUGUGGUAGUUUAAAACUGAUCAGUGAUACCUUUUUUACCUUAUUUUCUUAUAUGUUCUGUUAUUAGUGAAAUAUAAGUCACCUCUGGAUGAGGAUGUUUCUGGGUUGUUUCCUGUAAAAUUUGUGCUGGUCUUUCGGGGAGGUGGGGCAGCCAAGUGGUUAAUCAUUUGCUCGUCAUGCCGAAAACCUGGCUUAUAUAUCCCACAUGGGUAUGUGUGAAGCCCAUUUCUGGUGUCCCCUGCUGUGAUGUUGCUGGAAUAUUGCUAAAAGCAGUGUAAAACUAACCCACUCACUCAGGUCUUUCGGAACCUUGUCUCAGAUCAUUGGUGCUGGUUGGUCGGGCAGCCUAGUGGUUAAAGCGUUCGCUCAUCACGCCGAAGACCCAGGUUCGAUUCCCCACAUGGGUACAAAGUGUGAAGCCCAUUUCUGGUGUCCCCUGCUGUGAUGUUGCUGGAAUAUUGCUAAAAGCAGUGUAAAACUUAACCACUCACUCAGGUCUUUCAGCACCUUGUCUCAGAUCAUUGGUGCUGGGCGGUCAGGCAGCCUAGUGGUUAAAGUUUUUGAUUGUCACGCCGAAGACCCGGGUUCGAUUCUCCACGUGGGUACAAAGUGUGAAGCCCAUUUCUGGUGUCCCCUGCUGUGAUGUUGCUGGAAUAUUGCUAAAAGCGUGUAAAACUAACCCACUCACUCAGGUCUUUCGGCACCUUGUCUCAGUUCACUGGUGCUGGGCGGUGGGGUAGCAUAAUGGUUAAAGCGUU